CUUGCACCCACGUGGUCAGCAGGGCGGGCGCAUCUCAACCAGCGGAGCGCGCAAACUUUCAGCACAAACACUUUGGUCCAUUGUUAGUGAGUGGAACCAGCGUUAGCGCCAACAGACACUAUCAGACACUCUGCUUAGAGCUGUAGGACUACUGCUGGACUAUUUUAUCACCUCUGUGCGCUCUGACAACAGCACCAACUCAUUGGACACCGGUGCGUGCGUCAGGCUCAAACUCAGACUGGGUAUUGUGGGUAAGUUAGUUACGCACCCCAGUUUGUCUAUACGGAGCACCAAAACAAGCAGUUUUCUCAGCUUCCUGCUCACCAAAAAGGACUUAAAAAGCUAACUACAGCAUGGAUGCGAUCGGAGAUUUAUCAAGAGCAAGUCAACAGGAAUGUCGCCGUGGCCCCAAAGCUGCGGUCCAGCGGUGGGUCCCUGGGUUCCCCAUCGCCGUGUGCCUCCUCAUGUCCCUGAGCUCCAUCACCGUGUGUCUGCUGAUGACCUACAAGACCUACGAGCUGGAGAAACGGCUGCACACGGACACGGUGUCCAUCAGUCAACCCGCGCACGGUGCGCUGCUCAACAAGGAUGGGACUCUGGUUUCUAACCUGAGAGUCCCGAUCGAAAAGCUCCUGGAUGAGAGGGUGAUGGGCCUGAUGCCCAAACUGAGGACUGCCAGGGAUGUUUCCCCAGAGUGCUCCUGUCCUCCAGGACCUCCAGGUAAACGUGGACGAAUGGGACGAAGAGGGGAACCCGGUA
rnacentral:lncRNA from 1 species